UUGAAACAACGGUUCCCAUAAGAUCAUCGAAGUUAAGCGACGUCGAACUCGGUUAGUAUCUAGAUGGGUAACCGCUUAGGAAUAUCAAGUGCUAU